UGCAGUAGACCCUUCUCUAUUGAGGAUGAUC
rnacentral:piRNA from 1 species